rnacentral:misc_RNA from 1 species
GAUGAAGAACGUAGCGAAAUGCGAUAAGUAAUGUGAAUUGCAGAAUUCAGUGAAUCAUCGAAUCUUUGAACGCACAUUGCGCCCGCCAGCACUCUGGCGGGCAUGCCUGUUCGAGCGUCAUUUCAACCAUCAAGCCCCAGGCUUGCGUUGGAUCCCUGCGGCUGCCGCAGCCUCCUAAAAGCAGUGGCGGGCUCGCUAUCACACCGAGUGCAGUAGAUUACUCUUCGCUCAGGGCGUGCAGCGGGUUCCGGCCGUGAAACCCCCUACUUUUAAAGGUUGACCUCGGAUCAGGUAGGAAUACCCGCUGAACUUAAGCAUAUCAAUAAGCGGAGGA